UAUGAGCAUUACAAAUCAUAUCAGUUUUUCAAAAGAUUUUUUUAAGCAAUGCAAAUUUAAAAAUGAGUAAGAAUUGUUAAAAUAUGUUUUAAAUAAAGGAAUAUUUUAACUUGAGAGAGCUGAGAAAUGUAAGGUUAAUAGAAAAUGAGAAAAUAUUUAACCUUUUUAACUUUCGAUUAAGAUUAUGAUAAUAGACAAUUCACAAUCACUGAUGAUAAAUAAGAGAGUAUUGAACUACAUUUUGAUGCUACUGAAAAAAUAAGUUGUCUGCUGUGGUGUACUUGCUGUUAACUUUUCACUUUGGAGGAUCAUGUGGUUAAUUAAGGUAUAGAAGAAGUUUUCAUCUAUGGGCUUCCGGCUCGUUUCGUUCAUUAUCUACGAACUACGAUCAUCAUCAAUCAUCAUUUUGUCUUCGCUUUUGGAAAGGAAGGCAUGUCACCAUUUUUGCUGUUCAUAAAUAGAAACGACACCUGAAGGUAUUUAGCCCUAAUACUUAUUCAAAUUUCAUUUGAUUGUGUGGAAUGCGUUUCAAUUUAACGUUUGA